rnacentral:rRNA from 1 species
UACGUAGGGAGCAAGCGUUGUCCGGAUUUACUGGGUGUAAAGGGUGCGUAGGCGGCUUUUUAAGUCGGGCGUGAAAGCUGUGGGCUUAACCCACAAAUUGCGUUCGAAACUGGAAGGCUUGAGUGAAGUAGAGGUAGGCGGAAUUCCCGGUGUAGCGGUGAAAUGCGUAGAGAUCGGGAGGAACACCAGUGGCGAAGGCGGCCUACUGGGCUUUAACUGACGCUGAGGCACGAAAGCAUGGGUAGCAAACAGGAUUAGAUACCCUGGUAGUCCAUGCCGUAAACGAUGAUUACUAGGUGUGGGGGGUCUGACCCCUUCCGUGCCGGAGUUAACACAAUAAGUAAUCCACCUGGGGAGUACGGCCGCAAGGUUGAA